rnacentral:rRNA from 1 species
ACAGAGGGUGCGAGUGUUAAUAGUAUUUACUGGACGUAAAGCGUGCGUAGGCGUCUUAUUAAGUCGGAUGUGACAUCACCGAUCUUAACUGGAGAAUUGCAUUCGAUACUGGUGAGCUAGAGUAUGGGAGAGGAUGGUAGAAUUCCAGGUGUAGCGGUGAAAUGCGUAGAGAUCUGGAGGAAUACCGAUGGAGAAGGCAGCCAUGUGGCAUAAUACUGACGCUGAGGUACGACAGCAUGGGGAGCAAACAGGAUUAGAUACCCUGGUAGUCCAUGCCGUAAACGAUGUCUACUAGCCGUUGGGGCCUUUGAGGCUUUAGUGGCGCAGCUAACGCGAUAAGUAGACCGCCUGGGGAGUACGGUCGCAAGACUAAAACUCAAAUGAAUUGACGGGGGCCCGCACAAGCGGUGGAGCAUGUGGUUUAAUUCGAUGCAACGCGAAGAACCUUACCUGGCCUUGACAUACUAGAAACUUUCCAGAGAUGGAUUGGUGCCUUCGGGAAUCUAGAUACAGGUGCUGCAUGGCUGUCGUCAGCUCGUGUCGUGAGAUGUUGGGUUAAGUCCCGCAACGAGCGCAACCCUUUUCCUUACUUGCCAGCAUUUCGGAUGGGAACUUUAAGGAUACUGCCAGUGACAAACUGGAGGAAGGCGGGGACGACGUCAAGUCAUCAUGGCCCUUACGGCCAGGGCUACACACGUGCUACAAUGGUCGGUACAAAGGGUUGCUACACAGCGAUGUGAUGCUAAUCUCAAAAAGCCGAUCGUAGUCCGGAUUGGAGUCUGCAACUCGACUCCAUGAAG